rnacentral:rRNA from 1 species
UGCGGAGGGAUCAUUACAAGAAGCCGAAAGGCUACUUAAAACCAUCGCGAACUUAUCCAAGUUGCUUCGGCGGCGCGGCUCCCCUCACGGGGGACCGCAGCCCCCCGCCUCUCAGGAGGUAAGGGGCAGCCGCCGGAGGUACGAAACUCUGUAUUAUAAUGGUAUCUCUGAGUAUAAAACAAAUAAGUUAAAACUUUCAACAACGGAUCUCUUGGUUCUGGCAUCGAUGAAGAACGCAGCGAAAUGCGAUAAGUAAUGUGAAUUGCAGAAUUCAGUGAAUCAUCGAAUCUUUGAACGCACAUUGCGCCCGCUAGUACUCUAGCGGGCAUGCCUGUUCGAGCGUCAUUUCAACCCUCAAGCUCUGCUUGGUGUUGGGGCUCUACGUCUGACGUAGGCCCUGAAAGGAAGUGGCGGGCUCGCUACAACUCCGAGCGUAGUAAUUCAUUAUCUCGCUAGGGAAGUGUGGCGUUCUCCAGCCGUUAAAGACCCCAUCUUUAACCAAGGUUGACCUCGGAUCAGGUAGGAAUACCCGCUGAACUUAAGCAUA